rnacentral:rRNA from 1 species
AGAGUUUGAUCCUGGCUCAGGACGAACGCUGGCGGCGUGCUUAACACAUGCAAGUCGAACGGAAAGGCCCUGCUUGCAGGGUGCUCGAGUGGCGAACGGGUGAGUAACACGUGGGUGAUCUGCCCCUUACUUUGGGAUAAGCCUGGGAAACUGGGUCUAAUACUGGAUAGGACCAUGCUGUAGGUGGUGUGGUGGAAAGAUUAGUUUCGGUAAGGGAUGAGCUCGCGGCCUAUCAGCUUGUUGGUGGGGUAAUGGCCUACCAAGGCGUCGACGGGUAGCCGGCCUGAGAGGGUGGACGGCCACAUUGGGACUGAGAUACGGCCCAGACUCCUACGGGAGGCAGCAGUGGGGAAUAUUGCACAAUGGGCGCAAGCCUGAUGCAGCGACGCCGCGUGGGGGAUGACGGCCUUCGGGUUGUAAACUCCUUUCAGCCAUGACGAAGCCUUCGGGUGACGGUAGUGGUAGAAGAAGCACCGGCUAACUACGUGCCAGCAGCCGCGGUAAUACGUAGGGUGCGAGCGUUGUCCGGAAUUACUGGGCGUAAAGAGCUCGUAGGUGGUCUGUCGCGUCAUUUGUGAAAGCCCGGGGCUUAACUCCGGGUUGGCAGGUGAUACGGGCAUGACUGGAGUACUGUAGGGGAGACUGGAAUUCCUGGUGUAGCGGUGAAAUGCGCAGAUAUCAGGAGGAACACCGGUGGCGAAGGCGGGUCUCUGGGCAGUAACUGACGCUGAGGAGCGAAAGCAUGGGUAGCGAACAGGAUUAGAUACCCUGGUAGUCCAUGCCGUAAACGGUGGGCGCUAGGUGUGGGUUUCCUUCCACGGGAUCCGUGCCGUAGCUAACGCAUUAAGCGCCCCGCCUGGGGAGUACGGCCGCAAGGCUAAAACUCAAAGGAAUUGACGG